rnacentral:lncRNA from 1 species
CCGUAACAGCUCAACAUUCAGUGGCCCAAUUUAUUACAUUUCAUUUAAUUUUUCCCCAAUCCCAUGUGCAUACCAAAUUAUCCAAUGCAGCAGCUACUGCCGUCCUAAAAACGGUGCACUUCAAUAAACACUGAUGGACCAAAACUUGCGUUUCACUUAAGCCUAGUGUCAGUCCAAAUCAAGCGGCCCAAUCUACAAUAAAGAAAAAAUUCAAAAUUAAAGAAAGAACAGAAAAAAAUUCAAAUGAAAGAAAAGAAUUUUUUACAAAAAGAUUUUCUUAAAAAAUAUAAAUUCUCUAAUUAUUUAAAAACUCUACAAAAUACAUCUAAAAACUUAUUUUUACUAAAAUUUUAUAAAACUACAAAUUUAUAGAAAAAUCCUAAAAAUAGUCCAAUUCUAAACAAUUAAGAAGUAAAAGAGACUAAGAAAGACUUCUAAGACUAAAAAAAGAUGCAAAAUUAUAGAGUUACCACACCCCCCACACUUAAGGAACUACCCUUAUGUGCAGGAAAAACUAGAAUGAAAAAGAAAAACAAAGAGACUCAAUAUACACAAGAAAGAUUCAACACAAAACAAAGAAAAGACUAAAGACAAAACAAGGAACUUUUUAAAUUCUAUCAGCUAACUCAAACCUGCCAAAACACACCAAUUCUUAGCUAUUUACUUAAAUCAGAACUGCACAAAAGAAUUCCUAACUUUAAACUCAAAUUUCAGCAAUUUUAGCAAAUGAGAAACAGUUUAAUCCACUCAAAUCAUAAAAGACAACAUAUGGAACAGUAGCAGUCAGCCUUAACCUCACAGGAAUAAGUGUAUGCACUCAGAUUCACUCAAGUGUUUGGGGGCAAUCCUGUUUCACUCAAUCAUGACAUGCUACCUACCAUUCACAACUUUGAAAAGAUUCUAGAUGUUAGUGCUUGACUCAAGGUUCAUCUAAAUCAAUAGGUCUUUAUUUGGCUUGUAAUGUUCAUGGAAUGAGAUGUCAAAAAACACAAGUCUUAAAUGGAAAUGGAGAAACUGUGAAGAAUAGGAAAGACAGAACUCAGUGCAAUGUUUUAGAUAUUUUUCCCAGUCCAAUUUUUGUUCUUUCUCUCUGGUUUUCAACUCUAUUCAAGUCUUUUCUUUCAAUUAUUUUGCAUUUUUGCUCUUUUUCCAGACCUGCUAUUUUCUUUUGCACACAACCAGAUUGCUCAGCUCAUUUUCUUCUUCUUCUUUUUUUUCACUUCUGUUCUGGCCUUUCUUUUCUAUAGCACUCACCAAGUUCCAACUCUCCCUACUUCUCACAAGUCUCUAAUGGUUGAUUAAUGAUGAGGUAAAAAGCUUAAAAUGGAUGGAAAGCAAGGAAAAGAGGCUAAGGCUCAAAUGAGGUGCAAUGGUAAGAAAAUAUGAAAUGGGUAAGCUCAAUUGGAAAAGUGAAGGAUGCCUAAAUCAUAUUCAAAGUUACCAAGAGCCAGCACAUCAACAAAGAAUCAAUGCAAAAUCAGAAUGACAAUUAAACAUGCAUGUAUCACACAAGAAAGACAAAAGCUGGCCCAAAAUCUCUUAAGGGUUUAAGAAUUGUUAAAACUGACUUGCUACUCAUCCUAUGCAAAAAUUACUGAAUUGAAAUGAACUAGAGACUGCAAAAAUUAAUGCUAGAACUACUUUUGCCUAAAUCUAAAGCUAAGUCUACUCUUGACAAUUCUAAUAUAAGGAAAAAAACAAAAAAGUUGAGUGAAAUCAACAAGGAAUGAAGGAAAACUUGAAACAGAAUCUAAAAGCUCCUAGAAAGACUAACCCUGAUUAACUAAGCUAUUUACAAUCUAAACAACUAAGACAAAACAGUACAGUAUGAUGAAAAGGAAAAACAAUUUCUACUAGACAACUUAAAACAAUUCCUAUACUAAAGCUCUAUAAAGCAAAACAUCAAAAGGAAAAGAAAAUAACCUAAACCUAAUAAGAAAUAGAUACCUAAGACAGAAUGAUAUUAACCUAACAAAUCCUAAUUACAAGUCUAGAAAGGAAACAACAAAAGAGGGAAGAAAGGAACCUAAACAACAUUUAUAAUAUCAAAACAAAGACGUAAGACACUAAAAACAAGACCUGAGACUAUGAGAACCUGAAAGAAAUUCUAACUAAAGACUAUAAACAAAACCUAAGUGAUGAAAAGAAUUUUUAAAACCAACAAAGCUUUAAGCAAUUUUAUUUACAAACUGAAACAUAACCUAGAAAAUGAAAAAAAGACUAAAACAACUACUAAGAAAGCUGCAACAGAACAAGAAACUAAAAGAAGGAAAAGAAAUUAGGAAAUAGUAAAAGAAAGGAAUCCUAAAAGAAGUUCUAACAGAAACAAUGCAAGUAAAAGAGCCUAAGCUAAAAAUGAAUGAAUGAACUAAACUAAAACAGAUUAUGAAAGUGAGUAUUUACAGACUAAAGCAAGAAUAACAGACUACACUAGGUAUUUAUAAACUACCAGACCUAAAACUAAAGGGAAAAACAACUCCA